rnacentral:tRNA from 1 species
GAGGGUAUAGCUCAGUGGCAAAGUGUGUGCCUAGCAUGCAUGAGGUCCUGGGUUCAAUCCCUGGUCCCUCCA